UACGUAGGGUGCAAGCGUUAAUCGGAAUUACUGGGCGUAAAGCGUGCGCAGGCGGUUAUAUAAGACAGAUGUGAAAUCCCCGGGCUCAACCUGGGAACUGCAUUUGUGACUGUAUAGCUAGAGUACGGUAGAGGGGGAUGGAAUUCCGCGUGUAGCAGUGAAAUGCGUAGAUAUGCGGAGGAACACCGAUGGCGAAGGCAAUCCCCUGGACCUGCACUGACGCUCAUGCACGAAAGCGUGGGGAGCAAACAGG
rnacentral:rRNA from 1 species